AGGCCAUAGAAGAAUUGGAGGGGGAUUCAGCCGUAGAACUUCCUUUUCCUAUUCUUCCUUUUCCUCUGCAACAGCCGUUGGCAACCCCUGAUUGCCGUCACUGCUGACGCGGUCACCCUCCUGAUUCCUGGUGUGACGGAUGCGAUGUGUUCCUGGCUGACCAGGAAACCAGGUGUUGCCAUCACAGCUGUGGCCCAAGCGUUGGAAGUGGAGGUGGCACAGAGGAAGCAGCUGCAGCAGUAGGUUUGGUGGCAAACUGCUCAACCAGGAAAAAACUUUUUGAACCCUUCGAACUCAAGAUGUCAUUCAGACGUUGCAAACGUGCAUGAAUGAAAAACAGAUGGAAAGUAUUUCCCGAAGCCUUCCACAUUCUCCUGGAGAAACUCUAGAGGCUAAAGAAAGAAAGAACAUUGAUCUGAAGCAAAUCUUAUUUUGAAGAGUAGAGGAGGAAUUCCUAGAAGAAGGAGGUACAUAAAUUCUCUUGCAAUCCCACAGUCUGGCAAGAUAAUUUUCAUUCAUUCUCCUUUAUUCGUUCAAUAUUAUUUAUUGUUCAACUCAGUGAAGCCUCAUUUAUCCAAAGUAAAUGAAUUGAGUAUCAUCAAAACUAUGGUUAAUAAACAAUGACCACCAGAAACCCACUCACUGUCCUUGUGCAUGCUGGGAACUGACAGUAAGGAGCCUAAGAUAAGGGAACAGCUUUAAAUCCAGCGUUGAUAGCCAAAAUACUAUCAGUCCUUAAUCCCCUUCUCCAGGGAUGCCUUUUGUAGUCUUUUUCCUCAAGACCC
rnacentral:lncRNA from 1 species